ACAGCUCAGUUGGUAGAGUAUGAGACUCUUAAUCUCAGGAUUAUGGGUUUGAGUCCCAUGUUGGGCA